rnacentral:rRNA from 1 species
AUUGAACGCUGGCGGCAGGCCUAACACAUGCAAGUCGAACGAGUGGCGGACGGGUGAGUAAUGUCUGGGAAACUGCCUGAUGGAGGGGGAUAACUACUGGAAACGGUAGCUAAUACCGCAUACCAUCGGAUGAGCCCAGAUGGGAUUAGCUAGUAGGUGGGGUAACGGCUCACCUAGGCGACGAUCCCUAGCUGGUCUGAGAGGAUGACCAGCCAAACGGGAACUGAGACACGGGCCAGACUCCUACGGGAGGCAGCAGUGGGUAAUAUUGCACAAUGGGCGCAAGCCUGAUGCAGCCAUGCCGCGUGUAUGAAGAAGGCCUUCGGGUUGUAAAGUACUUGCAGCGUGGAGGCGUUACUCGCAGAAGAAGCACCGGCUAAAUCCGUGCCAGCAGCCGCGGUAAUAC